AGUGAACGCUGGCGGUAGGCCUAACACAUGCAAGUCGAACGGCAGCACAGUAAGAGCUUGCUCUUACGGGUGGCGAGUGGCGGACGGGUGAGGAAUAAAUCGGAAUCUACUUUUUCGUGGGGGAUAACGUAGGGAAACUUACGCUAAUACCGCAUACGACCUACGGGUGAAAGCAGGGGAUCUUCGGACCUUGCGCGAUUGAAUGAGCCGAUGUCGGAUUAGCUAGUUGGCGGGGUAAAGGCCCACCAAGGCGACGAUCCGUAGCUGGUCUGAGAGGAUGAUCAGCCACACUGGAACUGAGACACGGUACAGACUCCUACGGGAGGCAGCAGUGGGGAAUAUUGGACAAUGGGCGCAAGCCUGAUCCAGCCAUACCGCGUGGGUGAAGAAGGCCUUCGGGUUGUAAAGCCCUUUUGUUGGGAAAGAAAAGCAGCAGGUUAAUACCCCGCUGUUCUGACGGUACCCAAAGAAUAAGCACCGGCUAACUUCGUG
rnacentral:rRNA from 1 species